rnacentral:rRNA from 1 species
UACGUAGGGUGCGAGCGUUUAAUCGGAAUUACUGGGCGUAAAGGGUGCGCAGGCGGCUUCGCAAGUCAGACGUGAAAUCCCCGAGCUUAACUUGGGAAUUGCGUUUGAAACUACGAGGCUAGAGUGUGGCAGAGGGAGGUGGAAUUCCACGUGUAGCGGUGAAAUGCGUAGAUAUGUGGAGGAACACCGAUGGCGAAGGCAGCCUCCUGGGCUAACACUGACGCUCAUGCACGAAAGCGUGGGGAGCAAACAGG